rnacentral:misc_RNA from 1 species
CAUCAUUACUUCUUGUUGAGAUUUACACUUUCCCAGAUAUUCUGAUAACUGUACAUAUAAAUGUGUAUUUUGUUACUUAAAAUUACAGCUUCAAUCAUUUCUUCUUUUUGUCUUCUUCCUUUUCUCUCUCAAGAACUACAGGGGCUGCUGGUAUGCUAAACCACCACUCUCUCAAUCUCCUCGACAAUCUUUCACUGCUUGCUUUCCUUGGAGGUGAAUACCUUGUAAAUGCCUCCAAAAAGGUGAGUAGAACUAUGUACUUGAUAGGUAUGAAAAGUAGGAUUAAAGCCAUGCAUAGAAGUGCUGCUGCAAAUUUCUCGCUCGCCUGG